GCCGCGGUAAUACGUAGGUCCCGAGCGUUGUCCGGAUUUAUUGGGCGUAAAGCGAGCGCAGGCGGUUUUUUAAGUCUGAAGUUAAAGGCAUUGGCUCAACCAAUGUACGCUUUGGAAACUGGAGAACUUGAGUGCAGAAGGGGAGAGUGGAAUUCCAUGUGUAGCGGUGAAAUGCGUAGAUAUAUGGAGGAACACCGGUGGCGAAAGCGGCUCUCUGGUCUGUAACUGACGCUGAGGCUCGAAAGCGUGGGGAGCAAACAGGAUUAGAUACCCUGGUAGUCCACGCCGUAAACGAUGAGUGCUAGGUGUUAGGCCCUUUCCGGGGCUUAGUGCCGGAGCUAACGCAUUAAGCACUCCGCCUGGGGAGUACGACCGCAAGGUUGAAACUCAAAGGA
rnacentral:rRNA from 1 species